rnacentral:misc_RNA from 1 species
ACCUGCUGAAUGCGCUCGUUGACCAACUGCCGGGCGAAAUAGAUGUCGGUGCCGUCCUUGAAGACAACGGUCACCUGGCUCAAACCGUAACGCGACAGCGAUCGGGUGUUUUGAAGGUUCGGCAGCCCGCCCAUGCNAAGGUUAUGCGCUGCUCGACCUCAAGCGGUGAAUAGCCAGGAGCGCGGGUAUUGAUCUGAACCUGCACAUUGGUGAUGUCGGGAACGGCGUCGAUCGGCAGCCGUGUAAAAUUCCAGGC